rnacentral:rRNA from 1 species
GACGAACGCUGGCGGCGUGCUUAACACGUGCAAGUCGAACGGAAAGGCCCUGCUUUUGUGGGGUGCUCGAGUGGCGAACGGGUGAGUAACACGUGAGUAACCUGCCCUUGACUUUGGGAUAACUUCAGGAAACUGGGGCUAAUACCGGAUAGGAGCUCCUGCUGCAUGGUGGGGGUUGGAAAGUUUCGGCGGUUGGGGAUGGACUCGCGGCUUAUCAGCUUGUUGGUGGGGUAGUGGCUUACCAAGGCUUUGACGGGUAGCCGGCCUGAGAGGGUGACCGGCCACAUUGGGACUGAGAUACGGCCCAGACUCCUACGGGAGGCAGCAGUGGGGAAUAUUGCACAAUGGGCGGAAGCCUGAUGCAGCAACGCCGCGUGCGGGAUGACGGCCUUCGGGUUGUAAACCGCUUUCGCCUGUGACGAAGCGUGAGUGACGGUAAUGGGUAAAGAAGCACCGGCUAACUACGUGCCAGCAGCCGCGGUGAUACGUAGGGUGCGAGCGUUGUCCGGAUUUAUUGGGCGUAAAGGGCUCGUAGGUGGUUGAUCGCGUCGGAAGUGUAAUCUUGGGGCUUAACCCUGAGCGUGCUUUCGAUACGGGUUGACUUGAGGAAGGUAGGGGAGAAUGGAAUUCCUGGUGGAGCGGUGGAAUGCGCAGAUAUCAGGAGGAACACCAGUGGCGAAGGCGGUUCUCUGGGCCUUUCCUGACGCUGAGGAGCGAAAGCGUGGGGAGCGAACAGGCUUAGAUACCCUGGUAGUCCACGCUGUAAACGGUGGGUACUAGGUGUGGGGUCCAUUCCACGGGUUCCGUGCCGUAGCUAACGCUUUAAGUACCCCGCCUGGGGAGUACGGCCGCAAGGCUAAAACUCAAAGGAAUUGACGGGGCCCCGCACAAGCGGCGGAGCAUGCGGAUUAAUUCGAUGCAACGCGUAGAACCUUACCUGGGUUUGACAUGGAUCGGGAGUGCUCAGAGAUGGGUGUGCCUCUUUUGGGGUCGGUUCACAGGUGGUGCAUGCCUGUCGUCAGCUCGUGUCGUGAGAUGUUGGGUUAAGUCCCGCAACGAGCGCAACCCUUGUUCACUGUUGCCAGCACGUUAUGGUGGGGACUCAGUGGAGACCGCCGGGGUCAACUCGGAGGAAGGUGGGGAUGACGUCAAGUCAUCAUGCCCCUUAUGUCCAGGGCUUCACGCAUGCUACAAUGGCUGGUACAGAGAGUGGCGAGCCUGUGAGGGUGAGCGAAUCUCGGAAAGCCGGUCUCAGUUCGGAUUGGGGUCUGCAACUCGACCUCAUGAAGUCGGAGUCGCUAGUAAUCGCAGAUCAGCAACGCUGCGGUGAAUAAAUUCCCGGGGCU